GACGUCAUCAACAUGACGUACAAAAUGGCGUUCCUGGGAGAUAAAUUUUGAUUCCGGUUGACAAACAUGAGAAAAUAACCAAUAUUUGCAUUACUGUAUUACAGUAGACGGGAUGAGGAACCUUCAAGCAGAUGGUGGUAACCAAUCCUAGCCAACAUAGUCAAGACAUGUCUCCAAGUUGAGAAUCUUCAUUACACUAUGUUUCAAGUGUUAUUGACGCUUUGUUGCAAUUAACUAUUGCACAACGGUAAUAAGUAAUAGUUAUAAAAUACUCAUCACAGAACGAACAAUUAAUCAGAUAAUUUAAAUUAUGUUGGUGUUCUUAGAAAACUACAUUUAUAAUUUGAUUUUUUACUUCCACUUAAAUGUAUGAGUCAAAUUUUAUUGCUUGAAUAAUGAGUAACCACACAUCAAACAUUUAUAAAUUUUGAUUGGUACUAGAUUUCUAGUUGUGAACUAAACUUUUAAACUGACAAUAAUUGUGUUGAAAAAUUUCGAUUUGAAGUUGCUAUUUUGUGAUUGCCUAAAUUUGUAAAUGUAUAAAAAUGUUAAAGUGGUGUAUUUUCUUACAUUUUCCCUAUGUCAUAAUGUCAAUGUUUUCCAGAUGGACGAAACAUGCUUUGUGUGUCAGCUGCCGUUUGGAGACCAGCCUGUGGUAACACUUGGGGAUAAAGGGAGUGAGAGUGUUAACAGAGCGAGUUUACACCGAGGAACUCAAAUAAAAGCAGAACCGGGACAGUGUGUUUAUGUAAAUUGUUAACGUGACAAUAUACACACACGAAAUAUUAAAACAGAUAUGGACAAGAACAACAACAAUGUCUUCUUCUAGUGUCACUCGAAUGUCUGAACAUAGUUUUGAAUUUAAAACCAAAUGCAUGUUUUGUGGAAUAAAUGCCAAAUGUAAUAAUAAAAAAAACGUGGCCCUGAUGUUUUCCCUGUCAGAACGUUUAACUUUCAGGAAAUUGUUCAGAAUAAAUGUAUGGAACGGAAUGAUGACUGGGAUGAUGCCGUAUUUGGUAGGCUGUCUGCAGUUAUAGACCUGCCAGCUGCCGAAGCUCGCAACCAUCAAACAUGUAAUGUUAACUUCAGGACAGAUCGCCUAAUCCCAAAGCAGUUUCAGUGAUCAAAUCAGACUCUACACAGUUCAGGAAGGCCCGAAAAAGCUUUAGAAGCCUCCAAUUUCGCCAUGAAGUACAAAGAAGAAAAUGCCGAUGGUAAGACAUUAACAGUAAGUGAUAUAGUUGAUAUUGUUGCUCAUAAAUGUGAUGAAGAUUCUGCCUUCUCUGUAAAACAUAUGAAAAAAACUACAAGAUUAUUUUGGUGAUGCAAUUGUAAUAAGUUCUUUAGAUGGAAAGCAUGACAUUAUCACUCUGAAAGAAACGACUGCAACCAUUAUACAUUCAAAUUCUUUCGCUAAAAGUAAACGUGAAACAUCAGAUGAAAAUGAAAAGGCACGUAUUAUUAAAACAGCAGCUAACCUUAAUAAGGCUGAUAUUGAUAAAGCAGAGGCUCACAAAGACUUGUAUCCUUCUCCUGAUAUCAUAGGAUCACUUGAGGAAAAUUUGAAAUAUGUCCCAGAUAGUCUUGGAAUAUUGUUGAAUACAUUAUUCAGUAGUAAAGGAAGUAAUACAAAGGUAGGCUCCAUUGGACAAGCUAUAAUGCAGGCUAUGAGACCACGUGGAAUUAUAGCGCCAUUACAGAUUGGACUAGGGGUGCAGAUGCAUCGGCUGUUUGGCUCUCAUUUCCUUGUGGGCACUUUAAAUAAACUUGGGUUUUGUUCGUCGUACCACGAGAUCCAGCGGUAUCAAGAAUUCUGCAAAAACACUGAACCGAACCGUACCUGCCUUUUCUGAAGGAUUUUUUUUUUACAAUUUGUGUCUGACAAUGUGGACCACAAUAUCGGGACUUCGGACGGCAAUGACACCUACCAUGGUAUGGGUACUAUUGCUUGCGUAACACCUGCAACGAAAUCAACUACUCAAAUUCCAAGAAAUGAAAUAUCCAUAGAAGAGGUUGCAGAACUUGGAAGAAUAAAAAUACAUUUCUUUUCGCAUAAGGAGCACGAACCAAUUGUUUUCAGCAAACUUUCAGUUCCAAUUGUAGAACCGCAACCAAUUGACUUUUUCUGCAUAGUGUUAUGACCAGUAGAACCAAAAAGGCCUUUGUAAUCCGGAUUCAUGCAGCUGUAUGACCAUCCGAAGGAAGCGUCCCAUCCAGGAGUUUCCGCGAUCAAAUUCCUGCCGAUGAUUGAUCUAAAUCCUAGCGAUUUGAAUUGUAUAUACACACCAAUGAGUUUUGUUUGUGACCAAGCAAAGACAUACGGAGUCACACCAGUAUUACCAUUUGACCAGCCAUUAUUUGCAAAAGCAACUUACAUCGCCCAGUGUGAACAGAAUUCAAUGAAAAACAUAGUGUUGCGAUUGGGACCUUUCCACACCGAGAUGAGUUUCUUAGGUUCCAUUGGUCAUUUGAUGGCUGGCUCAGGUCUGCAGGAAUUGCUUGCUACAGUUUAAGCACCGAAUGCUGUAGUCCAUAUGAUGUCAGGAAAAGCCGUCGCAAGAGCUGUCCGUGGUCAUUUUCUUGUGGAUACAGCUAUUCAUGCCAUAUUACUGCAGAAGACAGUGGGAAUAACUCACCCUGCAAUGAGUACAAGUAAUGAAGAAAAUAAAGUUCUGAAAAGGGUAGUGAUGUGGAUCUAGAUUAUUUUGAAGAAAACAUUGAAAUAAAAACAAGUACCGAUAACAAACAAGGAGUGACAGAAGAUGAUUUUGCCUCAGAAUAUUUGUUCAAGGAAAUUGGCAGAGAUACUGAAGAAAAAGGGACAAUAGGAGAACAUUUAGCAGAAACGUACUAAAGUCUUCGAAAGAAAAAUGUAGCGUGCAGCAAUCAAAGAAGACACACAAAUACAGCUAUUGUAUUCAGAUGUACACGAAUAUAAAAACAAAACAAAACAAGGAAAUAGAACAGGAAGCUUAUGGAUACAAUAUGAUCUCGAUCUUACAAAAUUUCCUCCGUGCAGAAAGAACCGGCAAUUGGCAGUUGCAUCUUUCUUCAUUACAAGACAUGCUUCCGUAUUUCGCUGCAUCAGGACACUAUCUGUACUUGAAGUCUGCUUACAUGUACUUGCAAAAUAUGAGAGACCUGGAAGAAAAACACCCAUAUAUACACAAAAUGGUUUUGGAGGGAAAUCACGUUGUUAGAAGAAGCGACCGCUUUUGGGGUGGAAUAUCUACCGAUUUAACCAUAGAACAGGUACUCAUGCGUUCAUUAAAGACAAGCGGCGGAUUGACUGGGGGAAGAGGUAUGACAGUAGCACAGCGCAUUCUUUGGUUAUUAUCUAUGCCUUCAAUUGCCGAAAUGAAUAUUGCGAUGCAGACAUAUACCGGUACCCAGUUUGAAACAAUUGAACAACACAAAGAAGCGUCAGAGUCUAGAAUAGCUCGGGACGAAAAAGAUUUAUCCGUAUCCCAGUUUCUCACUGAUCACAGCCCGUUUAAUGAAACACAUACAUCUGAGGCAAUCCGAAAUAUUGAAACUGGUGUAAUAUGUGGUCUAAAAGUGAACGUGGACUCAGCUGCCAUGAUUGGGUCCGAAAUAAUUGACGACAUGGUUGGGCAAACCUUCAGCGACUACACAUUUAAACGUUCUCAGCAAGCUAUAACACUCGCCGCGACUUCAUCAGUUACCUUGAAAGGUGAAAAAGUUCAUAUAGAUCCGCAGCUAUUGUUCCAGCGGUUAACAACGGUCGCUAGGUAUGGAGAUGCCUAUCCAGAUCUUUUCAAAUACUAAUUGUUAAGUGUACCUUCAUCAUUAUUUGACACUCACGGACUUCUUCGUGAACCACAAAAAUCAUUGCUCGCUGACUCAAUCUGGAAACUUGGCAACUGCAGCCCGGAACGUAAUGUUUGUGAGUCUGAUGUUGUUCAUGUUAUAGAUGGUGGGUCCCUUAUACAAAAGUUGCCGUGGCAGAAAGGAACUUUCAAUGACAUAUUUGAACAAUACUACGAAUACCUACAUCGCAGAUACAAUGUUGCUGUCGUUGUCUUCGAUGGCUACGCAACCGGUCCAUCAACCAAAGACACUGCUCAUACACGACGAGCGAAAGGGGGCAUUGGUCCAAAGGUGGUUUCGACCAGUCUACUCCAUUUCGUGGAAGAAAGGAUACAUUCUUGAGAAACCUUGAGAACAAGCAACGUUUCAUUGAACUGCUCGGCGAACAUCUCAAUCAACAUGGUAUAAAAGUUUAUAAUGCAGAGGGAGACGCUGAUGUUCUGACUGUGAAUUAAAUUAUUAUUUGUAUUAAAUAAACAGUUAAUAUUUAAGUUUGCAAUAAAGAAUGCACUGACAUGCAUCUUCUAAGCAAUGCAUUCUAAGUUUGUGUCUUAUUGUAACAUCGAACUCAGUGUGUUUCUUGCAGAAUUAUAUUUUCAUGUACCUGAACAUGCAUGUACCAUAAUGCAUGUAUAAAUAAACAUAACGAAUUA